UAAGGAAUAUUGGUCAAUGGACGAAAGUCUGAACCAGCCAUGCCGCGUGAAGGAUGAAGGUCCUCUGGAUUGUAAACUUCAUUUAUAUGGGACGAAAAAAGGGUUUUCUAACUCGUCUGAC
rnacentral:rRNA from 1 species